rnacentral:rRNA from 1 species
CCUACGGGAGGCAGCAGUGGGGAAUAUUGCACAAUGGGGGAAACCCUGAUGCAGCGACGCCGCGUGAAGGAAGAAGUAUUCCGGUAUGUAAACUUCUAUCAGCAGGGAAGAAAAUGACGGUACCUGACUAAGAAGCCCCGGCUAACUACGUGCCAGCAGCCGCGGUAAUACGUAGGGGGAAAGCGUUAUCCGGAUUUACUGGGUGUAAAGGGAGCGUAGGCGGGGCAACAAGUCAGAAGUGAAAGCCCGGGGCUCAACUCCGGAACGGCUUUUGAAACUGUGGAACUAGAGUGCAGGAGAGGUAAGUGGAAUUCCUAGUGUAGCGGUGGAAUGCGGAGAUAUUAGGAGGAACACCAGUGGCGAAGGCGGCUUACUGGACUGUAAAUGACGCUGAGGCUCGAAAGCGGGGGGAGCAAACAGGAUUAGAUACCCCAGUAGUC